UACGUAGGGGGCAAGCGUUGUCCGGAUUUAUUGGGCGUAAAGAGCGUGUAGGCGGCCAGACAGGUCUGCUGUGAAAACUCGAGGCUUAACCUCGAGCUGUCGGCGGAAACCAUCUGGCUAGAGUCCGGAAGAGGAGAAUGGAAUUCCCGGUGUAGCGGUGAAAUGCGCAGAUAUCGGGAAGAGCACCCGUGGCGAAGGCGGUUCUCUGGGACGGUACUGACGCUGAGACGCGAAAGCGUGGGGAGCGAACAGG
rnacentral:rRNA from 1 species